GGUUCUUUAGCUCAGUUGGAAGUUAACCGUUCGGUCGCUGGUUCGAGUCCAGCAAGAACCA
rnacentral:tRNA from 1 species